rnacentral:tRNA from 1 species
GCCAGUGUGCUGUAGUGGUUUGAGUGCUGGACUAUGACUCUGGAGACAAGGGUUCAAAUCCCCCACUUGAA